rnacentral:rRNA from 1 species
UACGGGGGGGGCAAGCGUUGUUCGGAAUUACUGGGCGUAAAGGGCGCGUAGGCGGUUUGCUAAGUUGAAUGUGAAAACUCUGGGCUUAACCCAGAGCCUGCAUUCAAUACUGGCAGGCUGGAGUUCUGGAGGGGAUAGCGGAAUUCCUGGUGUAGCGGUGAAAUGCGUAGAUAUCAGGAGGAACACCGGUGGCGAAGGCGGGAUCCUGGGCCAGUACUGACGCUGAGGAGCGAAAGCGUGGGGAGCAAACAGG